rnacentral:rRNA from 1 species
UACGUAGGGUCCGAGCGUUGUCCGGAAUUAUUGGGCGUAAAGAGCUCGUAGGCGGUUCGACAAGUCGGGUGUGAAAACUCCGGGCUCAACCCGGAGACGCCACCCGAUACUGUCGUGACUGGAGUCCGGUAGGGGAGUGGGGAAUUCCUGGUGUAGCGGUGAAAUGCGCAGAUAUCAGGAGGAACACCGGUGGCGAAGGCGCCACUCUGGGCCGGUACUGACGCUGAGGAGCGAAAGCGUGGGUAGCAAACAGG